rnacentral:lncRNA from 1 species
CUUUUUGUUCUCCGUCUCAUAGUUAUGGACUAGAGAAGUUUUAAUAGACUCGUGAACUAAUGUUUGCGUGGUUAUGGGGUUUCUUUUAUUAAUUGUACCCUGGAAGAAUAAACUUUCAAUUAAAUCUAAGACGCCAGCCACCUAAGUAUUGAAAGAACUUUUGGCCUUUUUAAGAGUUGGUUUACAAAAGUUGAGUAGCCAGACCGUUACAAUGUUUAACAUUGUUAACACUGCCAAAAUGUUAAGCAGUCGUUAAGUAGUAUCAUUCAGGAAAGUACUAAAGGAAAUGACUUGUGGGACACACAUUCAGGAAGACUCCUACAACUGCCUUAGUUCCCAGCAUACCUCCUGAGAGGCCCUUCCUGAGACAGCUCAACUGGGACGUGGUUCUAGCCAGUGCUUGGACAACCUGGAAUGCGGAUUCCUUACGAUGUAUGUGCACUAUAAACUACCUCACCAGCCUUUCUGAGGGAAAGCAAUCAAGUGGACUUUAACUUCUUUUGUUUGUCUGUUCCGCUGUCCCUGGGUCUUACUUCAAGUCACUGCAGUUAGUUCUUAGUGUGUGUUUUCAUCAUAUGUCAUUCACGAUGUAAAUUAGUUUUAGCAAAAGCAUUUAGACAAAAAUACCCUGGAAGUGUGCCCUGCGCUGUGCUCCGAGAGAGUCUGUGUGUGUCCCUGAUGGGUUGCUUGUGUUUCUAACCAUGCAGGGACACAGGUUGUUGGGAACUGGUGUUCAUCUUUUCUGACAGUGUUGCCACGCUGUCUGUGGAUUUUAUUUGACUGAAAACCGAGGAGACGAAAAUGUCUCUUUCUCUAGCAAGUGUGUUUUAACUCUUUUUUCAUGUGUAUGUCUGACUUGCCUGGAAAGACUGUGCGUUAGGGGAUUGAACACUCCUCUUGACAGGCAUUUUCAACUAUUUUCCAUAAAUAUGUCAUUUAAUAAAAAGUAAUAUGACACGGGAUUAAAGU